GACAACACGCUCAAUAAACCCUCCAUGAAAGACAAUUUUUAUAAGGGGAAAUUUGUGUGUAUAUAUAUAUAUACACACACACACAAAUUUCAGCUCCCAAGAAAACCUAGGGAGGUGCAAUUCACUGUUUACUACUAUUAAUGAUAAUAUUUGAAACCAUUUAUUUUGAAAGAUGCAGACUUUCAGGAGGAACAUGAUGUCUGCCAGCUGGGACCAUGAUGCAGCCCAGAAACACCUGAUACUAGCAGAGAAGCUCAGGAAGGGAGGGUGCUCUGGGGAGGCCUAUCAGAAGAGGAAGGAAGAGAGGAAGUAGUGAAAAAGAAAUCACAGCUUUAUCUUAGGUGUUGGUGUGGAGAGUGGAAGCUGAAGGUUACAGAAAGUUUGGAUGUUUCUUUUUGGCUGUUUCUGAAGAUGGAGGCAGUGACUACUUCAAGUUGCAGACAUCCAGAGCUCUUUUGAGAUAAUGGAGAGGAAACCCUGCAGAUACAGUGACAGAAAUGGCAAUUACUAUAACACCAGGGCUUAGAUGUCUACAUCAAUCACAUCAUGCUCAGGCAUCAAGAACCACGGGCUUUGAAAAGCUGCCCCAGAGGAGGGAGCCUCUGAGAGAAAAGGUCAGCUGCAGCACCCCGGAUGGGAUGGCAACCUUCAGACUUCGUCCCAAGGGCCAGAGUGGAAAUUCAGUUCCACAUGGGGCUCAGGGAGCUUCUCUACUCAUGGU